rnacentral:tRNA from 1 species
UAUUUAUAUAGUUUAUAAAUAAAACAUUACAUUUUCAUUGUAAAAAUAAAUUAAAUAUUUUAUAAAUAA